rnacentral:rRNA from 1 species
GGACCAAGGAGUCUAGCAUUGGCGCGAGUCAUUGGGACAACACUAAACCUAAUGGCGAAAUGAAAGUGAAGGCCGCCUUGCGCGCGCCGAGGGAGGAUGGGUCGGGCAUCGCCCGCAACCCCGCACUCCCGGGGCGUCUCGUUCUCAUCACGAGAUGAGGCGCACCCGCAGCGUACACGCUGGGACCC